GCAGCUGCACCAUUUUGCAUUUCUACCAGCAAUGCAUGAGGGUUCCAUUUUAUCUGCGUCACUCUCAACACUUUGUGAAUGGCCAUCCAUAUUCUUCAGAGAAAUGUUUAUUCAAGACUGCUUCUCAGUUUUAAAUCAGGAAAUGACAUACCUCCAUCUAUUGUCCUGAAGAGCAGUCAGUGUUUUGAAUCUCUAUGAGGGUUGGCUUCUUCACCUGCUAGGGAUAUGGCUAUCAGCAAGAAAACACAUGUGGAAAGGCUCAGGCUGAUGGUGGGGGAAAGAGUUCAUCAGAAGGUGUUUGUAGCUUGGCUCCUUCUGAAGAUCCCAAGAUACCCAGAAGAACAAUACAAAGAGAAGAGUGGAUGGUCUGUAAAGAUGGAGAAAGAGAUUGGUCUUAUGCUGUCAUAAUCCAAGGAAUGCCAGGAGCCACCAAAAGAUGGAAAGGGCAAAAUGGGUUCUCCCCUAGAGACUUUGGAAGAAUCAUGGCCCUGCUGAUGCUUUGCUUUCAGACUUCUGGCCUCCAGAAUUGUGAGGUAAUAAUUUUGUUUUUAGUCAAGAAGUUUAUGGUAAUUUGUUAUGACAACCUUAGAAAUCUAACAUAGAUAGCAAGAUGUUCUAGUCAAGCUCUAGUAUUGGAACCCUGCCUCAAACCCAGCCAUCUGUGUUGUCCUCUGGAUAGCUGGCCUA